ACCAAUACAUCGAAGAGAGUUUUAUUCUGUAACUUAUUUUCUUCUUCUCUUUCUUCUCUUCUGUGUCCUUCAUCUCUUUCUCCCUAUCGAAUCCAAUUAUAAAGGUUUAGAUGAAUCGAGCUUCUUUUUGUGAGUGAUUCAUGUAAAUAUUGAGAUCUAGAUAAAUCUAAGAAGAGGGUGAUGAAUCUGGAAGCUAAUUGAGAAAUGGGUCCUCCUGAAAGAAGAAGAAAUAGAAAUUAGGGUUUCCUCCUGCCAUACUUUUCUUCUUCUUCUGCAACAAACUCCUACCAUAUUUUUCUUCUCCGACGAACCAUGGUUCUUCCUCAUGAAUCAGUUGAGUUGGCGCCAUUAGUUUGAAAAAAGGGUCUCGAUGUUUCACAGAAACAAAAGGGUUUUGUAAGAUUCGAUUUGGAUUGAUUCUCUGUGGGAUUUGUUAUCAACAACAGAAGGUGAUAAAUUCGUCUGCGAGUUAACAUUUAAUUGGAGUCGAAUAUUGCUAGAAUAGCCAACACGCAUUUGCCUGCAUCCAUGUUUCAUAGGGUAGCCAACAAGUUUUAUCUUCAUUAUCGAAGCGGGCGUUAUGGGGUUAUUCUUCCCAAAUUACAAUCAAAUCAGAAAGCGUAUUUUUAAUAAAAUGGAAUCUUUAUUCUGUCUUCGGCUUCAUUUAGUUUACGCUUCUUCUGACCUUCAGCCAUAAAGGUCCUGCAUUAUGAAAUAUGUUGAUUAAGGCACACUGGAGUCAAUAAGGAAAAGGAAUGAUGAACCCUUUUGUGGCAACGGGUCACCCUGAAAGUCAGUUUUCGUAAUUCGGCCAUGAAAUUGCCUGCCUACUUCAAAAGUGUAAGACCCUCCACAAGCAUUCAGAACAAGUGAGAUUGGAGUACAAUACCGCAGUUGCAAUGGACAGUGACUAUCACUGUGGGUGCAGGAUUUAAAACAGCAGGAAGACCAUAUUUAAUGGCGAAGGCAUGGAUUUUUUGCCGACCGAUCAUGCUUCUACAUUUCUUUAACAAUAACGCAAUAGCUAUAGAAACUGAUAAUACAGUAGAAACUCUAUAAAUUAAUGUUGUCGGGACCAUCAAAAUUUAUUAAUUAAGCGAGAUAUUAAUUAACCGAUAAA